ensembl:lncRNA
CUUUCCUGUUUUUCUUUUCUCUACGGUAAACAGUUCUCAAUGUAAAAACUACCAUUUUUAAAAGUUAUUUAGCAACCUAAGAAACAACUACUGCAAAAGUGUUCAAUAAAAUUAUGAAAAUUAUUUUUGUUAGUAGAUGGCAUCAUAGCUUGGCUUCUAAUUGGCAUGGAAACAAUUUUUACUCAGAUAUUGCUUGUAAAUAAUUGCAAAGAAAUUGCAAGCAACACAACAAAUUAAAGAUGAAAUUUUGAAGAAAAAAAAGUAAAGAUUGUAUUUGUGACAAUUCUAAAAAAAAUUAAACACAUUUGUCAAGUAAUUUAAAUAUCAAAUAGAAAAUCCACCAAAUAAGACUCCCUCCCCUUCACACAUUGAGUUGUCCUGGAAAUGUUGAAAAAAAGAGCAGCUGUGCAAGUGUGUGUGUGAGAGUCUCAUGAUAAGACCGAGAGGCCAAACACACCCUAGGCUCUCCCUCUUAGGUUUGUCGUUGACAGGAGAGAGUUAUUGCUCAAUGACAUUACAUGUUUUCCUUCAGUUUCAUGUUGGAUUGAUUUCUCAGAUUUUUCUGAAAUACCUCCAGAGCCCUUGAGCACUGUGACUGCCAUUAUUGAAACAAAACAGUGACAAGGACAGAAGGAUGGGGGAUGAAGAUGACAGAACGGAGGGGAAGCUAAGGCAGGGUGACGGUCUUAGAGUUAGGUGGGGUGUAUGUGUGAUGCCCUGGGGUGGCUCAGCCCAGCGGUGUGCAGUGACCUGGCUUGUCGCUCACUGACCUGUGAGACGGACAUAAUGAAGUGUGAGUGGCCGUCACCUUAACCGUCUGUGACAAGCCAUCCCAGCCCGGAGCACAUCUGUGUCAGGCAGCUCCGCCAUCAGAGCCGGGCUCUCACUGGCGACACUGCAUCCAUCCACACUGCGCUCCUGGGAUGGCCCCGGCACCCCACUGCUGCAAUAUGGCCCUGUUAUCCAGCAAGGUCACAGGGGAAGAAGGAGGCAGAGCCAAAGACCAGCUGUCACACACCAGAGCCAUUGGUCCAGAGAAUUUUUUUUUCUUCCUUUUUGAAAUUUUUGACUACUUCUACUCAACUACUGUAACUACCUACACUUGUAAGCCACUUGUACACUCUUAAAAAUAAAACAUCCAAAUGGUGGAUGAUGCCAUAAGAACAAUUUUUGGUUCCUCAAAAGAACCUUUCAGUGAACCGUUCUUAAAAGAACCC